rnacentral:sRNA from 1 species
UUGACAGCCCUGGAAACUGAAACCUUUUAUCCACAGAAUAGGUACAGCACAGGCAGUAAUAAAGUUUCCCCGCGUUGCCCCAGCAAUGUGCCUGAAACCUGAUCUCUAGGGGUGAAAGAGUAGUUAAUUCUCUGUGGCUCAAUUCAAUCCUUGGUACCU